rnacentral:rRNA from 1 species
GACGGAGGGUGCAAGCGUUGUUCGGAUUGACUGGGCGUAAAGGGCGUGUAGGCGGUUGGGCAAGUCCGAUGUGAAAGCCCGGGGCUCAGCUUCGGAAGUGCAUCGGAAACUAGCCAGCUGGAGCGCGAUAGAGGAGGGCGGAAUUCCUGGUGUAGCGGUGAAAUGCGUAGAUAUCAGGAGGAACACCGGCGGCGAAGGCGGCCCUCUGGAUCGUUGCUGACGCUGAGACGCGAAAGCGUGGGGAGCAAACAGG